UCAACAACAACUCAAAUCAUGCGAUUAUCACAACAAAUACCAAAUCAUGUGAAAAAUGAGAAUCAAGAGGGCUUUCAAAGGUUGUAAUGUGGCUUAGGUUACAAGAAAGGAUAUGAUUAAGAGAAUUCAACAAAGUUGCCUAUCAUAGGGGAGCAUUCCCAAACAUUCAACUCUACACAAUUUCCCUUUCUUUGAUCCCUAUUUUUUUUCUUUUUCUUAUUACAUCCACACAACCAUGAGCAUUUUCUUUGAUUUUUUUUUCUUUACUUUUUUUCUUUGCUCUAUGGCUUCAAGGGUAUUUUCUUUUUCUUGUUUCUUUUCAAAUUUUCACCCUUUCAUAAAAACUCACUUUUCCAAGUUUCUAAUCAACUUUUCACUUUACUCUCCCCAACUUUAAAGGGUAUUUUCUUUUUCUUGUUUCUUUUCAAAUUUUCACCCUUUCAUAAAAACUCACUUUUCCAAGUUUCUAAUCAACUUUUCACUUUACUCUCCCCAACUUUAGAUUCCAAAACCAAAUUUAUUCGAUAAUGCUCCCUACUUAGACAUAAGCAAAAGGCAAAAUUUUCAACAACUCGAUUUAAGGUUUCAAUUGACACGAAAGAAAUUAGGAUUCAUUUAUUCCACAAAUUUCAAUUGAUUUUUCAAUAAUCAAUAAAAUGAAUCCUAAAUUAAGCUCAAAGGGGUUUAACUAAGGAUUAUUCCUCACAAGGUUAGUUG
rnacentral:lncRNA from 1 species